CGGACGCUGACGAGUGGCGAACGGGUGAGUAAUACAUCGGAACGUGCCCAGUCGUGGGGGAUAACUACUCGAAAGAGUAGCUAAUACCGCAUACGAUCUGAGGAUGAAAGCGGGGGACCUUCGGGCCUCGCGCGAUUGGAGCGGCCGAUGGCAGAUUAGGUAGUUGGUGGGAUAAAAGCUUACCAAGCCGACGAUCUGUAGCUGGUCUGAGAGGACGACCAGCCACACUGGGACUGAGACACGGCCCAGACUCCUACGGGAGGCAGCAGUGGGGAAUUUUGGACAAUGGGCGAAAGCCUGAUCCAGCAAUGCCGCGUGCAGGAUGAAGGCCUUCGGGUUGUAAACUGCUUUUGUACGGAACGAAAAAGCUCCUUCUAAUACAGGGGGCCCAUGACGGUACCGUAAGAAUAAGCACCGGCUAACUACGUGCCAGCAGCCGCGGUAAUACGUAGGGUGCGAGCGUUAAUCGGAAUUACUGGGCGUAAAGCGUGCGCA
rnacentral:rRNA from 1 species